ACCUCGGAUCAGGUAGGAAUACGCGCUGAACUUAAGCAUAUCAAUAAGCGCAGGAAAAGAAACCAACAGGGAUUACCUCAGUAACGGCGAGUGAAGCGGUAAGAGCUCAAAUUUGAAAUCUGGCCCCUCGGGGUCCGAGUUGUAAUUUGUAGAGGAUGUUUUGGGUACCGCCCCGGUCUAAAUUUCUUGGAACAGAAUGUCACAGAGGGUGAGAAUCCCGUCUUGGACCGGCGGUAGGGCCUGUGUAAAACUCCUUCGACGAGUCGAGUUGUUUGGGAAUGCAGCUCAAAAUGGGUGGUAAAUUUCAUCUAAAGCUAAAUAUUGGCCAGAGACCGAUAGCGCACAAGUAGAGUGAUCGAAAGAUGAAAAGCACUUUGAAAAGAGAGUUAAACAGUAUGUGAAAUUGUUGAAAGGGAAGCGCUGGCAAUCAGACUUGAGCGCGGCGGUUCCCCCGGCCUUUUGGCCGGGCUACUCCGUCGUGUCCAGGCCAACAUCGGUUCUGAGGGUCGGUCAAAGGCCCCGGGAAUGUACCUACCCACGGGUAGACUUAUAGACCGGGGUGUCAUGCGGCCUC
rnacentral:rRNA from 1 species